GAUGAAGAACGCAGCGAAAUGCGAUAAGUAAUGUGAAUUGCAGAAUUCAGUGAACCAUCGAAUCUUUGAACGCACAUUGCGCCCGCCAGUAUUCUGGCGGGCAUGCCUGUCCGAGCGUCAUCUCAACCCUCGAGCCCCCCCGGGGGCUCGGCGUUGGGGACCGGCCCCGCCCCAGGGCGCGCCGCCCCCCAAAUCCAGUGGCGGUCCCGCCGCAGCCUCCCCUGCGCAGUAGCUUGCACACUCGCGCCGGAGAGCGGCGCGGCCACGCCGUAAAACCCCCCGACCACGGAGCCCCGGCUCCUGAACGUUGACCUCGGAUCAGGUAGGAAUACCCGCUGAACUUAAGCAUAUCAAUAAGCGGAGGA
rnacentral:misc_RNA from 1 species